rnacentral:rRNA from 1 species
CACGUAGGGGGCUAGCGUUGUCCGGAAUCAUUGGGCGUAAAGCGCGUGUAGGCGGUCCGGUAAGUCCGCUGUGAAAGUCGGGGGCUCAACCCUCGGAUGCCGGUGGAUACUGUCGGGCUUGAGUACGGAAGAGGCGAGUGGAAUUCCUGGUGUAGCGGUGAAAUGCGCAGAUAUCAGGAGGAACACCAAUUGCGAAGGCAGCUCGCUGGGACGUUACUGACGCUGAGACGCGAAAGCGUGGGUAGCAAACAGG